CCAAUAUAGCAUAGCCUAAUAGUCUUAACUUAAUUUAGGUCAUGCGAGUUAGCUUAAAUGAUUUUGGGAGCGUUUCGCCGACAUGUGCAGCCAUUUUGACCUAGCCGUUUGCAAAAUAGCCUAUGAUAUAGACUGAAAUAGAGAAUUCAACACUAUAUUAUUUUCAUAUAUAUGAAUAACAGUUAAUUAAACUAAAAGAAAUGAAAACGUUCAACAGAAAGUGAGCGUCCCAGCUACUCACCCCCUAAAUAUAUAAAAUAUAGGCUACGAAAACUCAAGUAGCCUAACGAAACCGUAUUUUGUUCGUGAUUGAAUUAAAUAGUAGCCUACUGCGGCGCCACCGUAUCAGGUGAUACACGAUCAGCUGUUCUCCUAAGACAAUGUACCAUUCUGCUGGAGUGUGUUUUGCGGAAGAUCAGGCCGGUGCCCGUGGUGCUGUCAGUUGUGACAGUUCCCAGAUGGAGGCCGCUACUGUAAGCGAGAUUGAGUUUCUCACAGAAACAACUCCCUCUUCUUCCAAACCGUCCUCCAAAAGUUCUCCAGGCACUCUUGCGCCCAGACUCCUCAAACAACGGUAACGCGGAAAGAAUGAGCUGAAUGAGUUUAAGGAAUAAAGACGCUUCGCUCCAUCAGGUUAUUCUUGAGAGAAGAGAUGGCUCUAGCCUUUACAACCGGCUAGAGGCAGGAUCUCUGACGUUUACUACGGUGACUGCACAGAUCUCUUCGCGAUGCUCUUAACAGUGGUCUACAUGACUGCUCCAGAAAACCUUCGAGUGGGCUUGAUAGUUCUUUGUGAAAACGUGAAAAAGUUAUUUGAUCAUAUUAAAACGGAGUCGGAAGUGGGUGGCAGACUGAUUUGGGACUGAGCGGCCCCAUGUUUAUUGGGCACACAAUCCACAGGUCUGCUGGUAUUAGGACUUCUCAAGGGUGGCCAGGCCACUGAUACACCACACCCACUGCUUUCAGUGCUUGCAGCAGAAUGGUUUUGAUCACGGUCAAAGGAAAACGCAACACCUUGAUUCCAUGAUGCUGGUGAGUGUGGUCAGCAUUUCGGACACACAAUUCAGGGAUUUUUAACUUCAAAGUGUAAUACUCAAUCUGAUUAUUUCAGACUAAAUGUCACCGAAGUGAAUUCAUGAUAGCCUUUGCAAUAUAGGCUGUCUUAAAAUAAGUUUUAAAUGUAAAACAUUUUUUUUUCUUAAGAUUCAACUUAUUUCUACACAAAUGUUUAUAUCAUUGUUUUGUGCAGAACUACCUAUUUUACAUACCCUGCUCAUCACUGCUCUAUCCAUUUCAUUUAAUCUGUUUGAUUUUUCCGUUUUGUACGGAGAGUUUCAAGCCUAAACCUCCUGCAGGGUCACCGGAUCCAUACCCCUGAAGCCCUGACUGAUCCUGGCAGUGGAAGGAAGCAACUGUUUUCAAUUGUUCUUUUUUUCUCUCUCCAUUUGUCUUUAUUAUUAAGAAUAUUAUUAGGGGGAGACCGUGGAGUAUUGUAACAUGGGGUUAGUUGUAACACUGUCAGUUUGACUAUGGUGAUGUCAUCCAUAUCAUACACUCACAUCUCCAUUUUGAACUAACAGGAGAAGAGGUGUGCCUGUAAGCAAGAUUGUGAUUGUGAUUUUAUCACCAAAAAGGUGAUUUUUAAGUUAGAAACUAUUUUUAUUUUUUACUUCAAACCCACAUGCUAAAAUCUGUUUGAACUACCACCCUCUGGAAAAUGCUAUGGGUCCAUUAAAACACGCACCACAAGAUUCAUGAACUGUUUUUAUCCAAACUUUUAUCCAAAAGCUGCUACUCUACUGAACUCUGAGAUUAAAAAACACACUUCAACACAUUCUUGAUAUUAAAGAGCAUGCAUUAAUGACAAUAACAUCUGUGUACUUUACUUUAUAUUUAUCACUUAUUUAUAUUUUUCUUUUGCUGUAUAAGUUGGAAAGUCUAUACUUUCGUUGUAUGUCUAUUUACAAUGACAAUAAAACAUGAAUUGAACUGAAUUGAAUUAAAAGAGUUAGCUAUGGCUGCUUGGGGUGGUGAUAGUUGUAACAUUUCAUUAAAAAUUAUAGGAACACUGGAAAAAGGGCAAAAAAAAAAAAAAA